CGCUGGCGGCGGUCUACCGUGCACGUCUCGCGCAUGACGGGAGCUUGCUCCUUGAUUCACCGGCGGACGGCGUGAGUAAUGCCUAGGACUCUGCCUGGUAGUGUGGGACAACGUUUCGCAAGCGAACGCUUAUACCGCAUACGUCCUACGGGAGAGAGCAGGGGACCUUCGGGCCUUGCGCUAUCAGAUGCAGCCUAGGUCGGAUUAGCUAGUUGGUGGGGUAAAUGGGUCACCUAGGCGACGAUCCGUAACUGGUCUGAGAGGAUGAUCAGUCACACUGGAACUGAGACACGGUCCAGACUCCUACGGGAGGCAGCAGUGGGGAAUAUUGGACAAUGGGCGAAAGCCUGAUCCAGCCAUGCCCACGUGUGUGAAGAAGGUCUUCGGAUUGUAAAGCACUUUAGGUUGGGAGGAAGGGCAGUAAGCUAAUACCUUGCUGUUUUGACGUUACCGACAGAAUAAGCACCGGCUAACUCUGUGCCAGCAGCCGCG
rnacentral:rRNA from 1 species